CCAACGAGCCACUGGCUUUCCUCCUCCGAUGAGGGCAUCACUGCCAGAAACCAUCUGGAAGAGAUAUAUAUUAACGGGUUAACGAGGCAAUCAGGCUGGGAGCUGGACAAUGAUGUUAUAAUCCCUCUGUCGCAUACCGGUAUUCUCGACGAGUUGAACUUGAAAUCGUAACAUCUACGACGACGGCGGAGAGAGAUGGGAUCAUCUUUCGAUAUACAUCGUCGUGCUUUGUGUUAAUAGAGAGAUAAGAUAAAAUGAGUAGACUGAAGGAGAGAUAUAGGUAGGAGCGUUGAGUUAAUAUUGACAUUUGGAAGACAAAGCCGGAAGUCGAAGCGACAGCGGUGGCGAGGAUAAGCUGAUUUUCUUCGAUACGCGCGGAGUUGCGGAGAGCUUCGAGAGGGUUCUAUACAUGGCGCGCGUCAUCGAGCUGCGACUUUCGCAGCUGCUCUUUAUGCUUUUUAUUUGCUCUCGUGACGCUUCGUUUGACCGACACUCUAUCGAUGUAAUGUUAAACGCCGAUGGUGCUUUGCAUCACUUGACGGAGCGUAAAGAUCCUUGGAAAAUACAUUUAAUGAUCUGAUUAUUAUUGUAUCUUAUUGAAUCGAGCACCGUCAGAUCUUAAUAAUAAUUAUGAUGUGCUGUACGUCUCAAUGACAUUUGCAUUGUGCGUUACGAUCGUAAAGUUUAUUUUUCAACGGCGCACGUGCUCUGAGAGGAGGCAUGCGUUAUGUCUCUUUGUCUAUAAGCGCGGUUCACUGACCAAGGUUCAUUGUGUAUGACAUUCGUCACAGAGUGACAAAGUGAAAAUCACGACUCUAUUUCGUAUUCGCGCGGGCCAAGACGGUAAAUGAGCGUUUGCAUAAUUUAAUGCCGCGUUACAUUUGCAUAUCGCGAGAGUAAUCGGCGUGCCAGCGAGCACGAGAAGCAUACGCUAUCUUAUUGCUUUAUAAAAAGAUUCACGUAUUUUCGUAAUCAAUUUUAUGCAACGUAUGUUUUAUUUUUACAAGUGGUACAUGUAUAUAUUUAUUGCUAUUUCAAUUUACAAGCCAACAGGGAAAAUCCACACCAUACCCAUUAAUCUGUUUCUGUCUUUGCUUCUCUUUCUUUAUUCUGAUAUAACUUUAUCCUCUCCUUAUUCUAAUACUCUAAUAUUUUCUCCCUAUCUCAUUGACCUAUUUAAUUUUACCUUCUUACGUUUUACAUAUAUUACAUUUUCACAUUUUUACGUUUUUACAUUUUACAUAUUUAAAUUUACAUUUAACGUUUUACAUUUAACAUUUACACGUUGUUUCCCUCUUACAGGUGGUUUACGCAAAAGUGCUCCUAGCACGAUCCUCUUCCCAUUCGCGCGUUCUACAACGGAUCUACAGCCUUACUGUUGACCUUACUUGGUCGUCAUUAUGAAGUAACCGGAGCAGCUUUUGCGUGCAUUUACUUUCGUGACUUGAGCAUGCUUUGUGAACCCCAGCGCAUUAAGACACGCGGAGGUCGUGCGUCCAAUCAUCAAGGCUGACUAAUACCCGGAAUUGAUGUCAAAGACUCGCCGCCGGAAACGCGAAUGGGUUCUCUUUCUCUUUCGCGUGUCCUUACCUCAUAUCAGUUCGAUCGAUCUGCAUCGAACGUCACACGGCUUUCAGUACGUGUACAUACAUAGUAUAUGUCUGAUGUAAAGUUGUGAAAUAUGUGUGGAGGUAGAUGGAAAAUUCACGGAUUUACGAGAAAUAGCAAAGAGAUUUUCUCCAUUAUCGGAGAAAAUAAUAUGAUGAAAGGCAAAAUUAUGUUAAAAAAUAAUGUGUGUUACAGGAGGUUCCUCAUUAACGCUUUGUUGGCCGACGAACAACGAAUAUGCUCGUUCUUAUCAGCUUUAUCUCUCGAAAAGGUAGCGCAUUACGUCAGCAUCGUUCUCAACUAUGUGAAGAACAAAAAGAUACGCUACUACGCCAGCGAUCAAAAAAGAAAGAAAAAGAUGUUAAAAUUGUAUGUAUUCUUCCGUCCUCGCACGUCGGACGCACGUUAAACGUCGCAGCGAUUCGAUUUCCGAAGAUCUUUGCACAUUUCACCGGGUGGAUUGGAGAAAAUCGGGCGCGCCAGCUCUCUUCGUGUGGAUCGGGCUAUCGAUCGAGAGCCGCAUCAAGUAUCAGCACUUCAAGUUCAACCCGAAGACGAGAUAAUAGGAGGCUACUGUUUUAUUCAGUGGUGCACAAUGCGACGCACCUCUUCACCAAACACUUCGCCGUUGAUUGUUCGUCGACGCAAAGUCGCUAUCGUAAUGAUACGUCGUAAGCGUAUGUCAGCGCGUGCAAGCGCAAUCGAAUAAUUUUUAUGUAAUGAUUUCGCGGUAAUCCCGUACACGGACGAUGAGCGAUCACCCAUCCAAUCGGCGACUCCAACGUUCGGGAUUUAAUCUCAAUAUUUAUAUAACGGGUAGUACAGAAACGUUCGAAUAUGUAUUGCGCGAGGAGCGAUUGCGUCUCUAUCUCUCGCUGUGGUAUAUCUACCCUCGUCGUUCCGACCUACCUCAACGAGCGACCUACCACCACGAUCCUCGAUACUACGUUAAAUCUUCCGUGAGGCGCGCAUAUCGUACAUGUAUCACACUUUGACGCGCGUAUCUCCCCGUUACAAAUGUAUACGUAUAGAUAUAAUAACGGAAUUGUUGAGUCGCGAAUUGAUGCUCCUCCCCGUCGGAGGAUGCGGCGCACAUCAGCAGGACCACCGCCAACGUCCUCGUCGAGCUCGCGUCCUGUCGCGCGUUUCGCGCGCCGCAGGCCUUUCGUCGGGGAUCGAUUCUCUCGACGGAGAGGGCGGGAGGCGGCGCCGCGCGCGGAACACAGUGAUCGGUCGCGACGCGCCUUUCCGAAUAAAAUUAAGAGAUCUCGCUCGCGGCUGUCUCGAAAGGUUGCGGACUUAUCUCGCGCGAUUCCUAUAGCAUGAUAGUGCGCCGCACCGGACAUGGCGAUCGCACCGGUCGCUCCCACCGGUAGCCCGUCAAAAACGUACGAUCUGCUAACAUUUUCACUAGUACAAGAGAAACAACACUGCCGCUGCGAAUAACGCUGCUCGCCGCCCGCGCCGUCGACACGCCGCCUGCGCCGCGUAUCGAUUUGCGUCGCGACGCCCGACACGAGUCGUCGGUAGCGCCUUCGCCCCGACCAGAGUUCCCCCUGCGAAUCAUUAGCCCAAUAAUUACUAAUGAGAUGGCUCCUAAACUCUAAGAAGCCCCCUCUCGAAUGAUUCUGGCCGAGGGACUCUGUAAAAUAUUUUGUGAUUGUACUGAAGAAAAUGUAAAAAAAUAUAUAUAAAUUAUUUGAUAAAAUAAUUUGUGUAUUGAAGAAAUAUUUUGUUUCUCAUACUUAAUACAUAUAUUUAAAUUGUGCAUAUUCAAUCAUCAUCUAAUCCUGUAUAUAAAUGUAAUUAUUGUAAAUGAAUAUCUAUAAUGAAUAUAAGUAUAAAAGAGUA